GAUGAACGCUGGCGGCGUGCCUAAUACAUGCAAGUCGAGCGAACGGACGAGAAGCUUGCUUCUCUGAUGUUAGCGGCGGACGGGUGAGUAACACGUGGAUAACCUACCUAUAAGACUGGGAUAACUUCGGGAAACCGGAGCUAAUACCGGAUAAUAUUUUGAACCGCAUGGUUAAAAAGUGAAAGACGGUCUUGCUGUCACUUAUAGAUGGAUCCGCGCUGCAUUAGCUAGUUGGUAAGGUAACGGCUUACCAAGGCAACGAUGCAUAGCCGACCUGAGAGGGUGAUCGGCCACACUGGAACUGGGACACGGUCCAGACUCCUACGGGAGGCAGCAGUAGGGAAUCUUCCGCAAUGGGCGAAAGCCUGACGGAGCAACGCCGCGUGAGUGAUGAAGGUCUUCGGAUCGUAAAACUCUGUUAUUAGGGAAGAACAUAUGUGUAAGUAACUGUGCACAUCUUGACGGUACCUAAUCAGAAAGCCACGGCUAACUACGUG
rnacentral:rRNA from 1 species